rnacentral:lncRNA from 1 species
GCAAUGAGGUCCCAAAACACUCUCCCAAAGUGCAGAUCAUGGGAUGGUAAGAGAAUGUUUCUGUACCCGAAAAUAGUGUUUCUGUCAUUCAGGCAAGAUUCUAGCUUUGCCUUUUCCCUACUUCCCAUUUUCUACCUCAGAAACAGAAAUUGGAAUAUGAGAGGGUGGAGAAUCGCUUUAGAGGAACUGAAACAGAGUUUGUAAGUUGAAUGGUUUCUAGCCCAUGUGUAAACCUGGGUGCGGUGUGAGAGGAGCUCUGCACGACUCCACGGAAGGGAACCCAGUGAGUUGUAGCUAUAGUUUCUUAAUUGAUUUAGAGGUGACAGCGUAAACAAUGGCUCUAAAAAAAGGUGAAACUCCAUUUACCAAAACCAAAUUUGACACUAGCUCCCAAAGCUAACUUGUUAAUACAGAUUUAUCUUAGGCUAGUGAAGUGGCACUAAAUUUGAAACUGAGAGUCUUGGGUGCUGUCUUUUAUCUGUCUUGUGGCUUACUGAAUGGUCACAAAUAAGUCAAGUGACCUCUUCAUGUUCCAGUUCCUUUUCAGUAAUGGGACUAACCAUAGGAAAAAAUAGUAUUGGCCUAAAAUGCUGAUCUCUUUCCUUUGACCCUGAAAACUCCAAGGAACUCCAGUUAGGGCUUCCUCAACCUAGUAAGAUUUGUAAGUUGGUAGAAUCUUACUUAUCACCCCUGACUUUCUUCCUUCUUCCUCCUUAGUGAAAUAGACAGCAAGUUAGAGCAAAUGGAGCAAUAUUUAGUGCUAAAGCUUUAGAGCCAGGGGAGGGUAAUCACCAACACGGGCCAAGCCGUAAUGACUUGGUACACCCAGAGAAGGCUGGGCUGCAGCCAGGCAGAUAACCUAAGGGACUGCUGCUGUUCUCUCCCGGCACACACACGUGCUCAUCACUCAGCGCCUGGCAAGAUCAGGGCUGGAGUGACACAGGCAUGCAUCCAAUACCUGAUCCAGAAAUAGGCCCUGGCUGCAGGCACAGCAAGUAAACAAACGUCCCGCCAGCUGUGGCCGAGGUGCACCCUUCCAAGCAGACCUGCCCACCAGGACCAUUGCUGGAAGACGGAAGCCCUGGAGCCUCUCCCUGGCCCUGUUUUGGAAGGAGUCCUCCAAGGCUGAGAACAGCCCCAGCCACAUGAAGCAGAACAAGUAGAAUCAUGUAUGGCAGAUUGUAUUUUCCAAAGAUGGCCAAAUCAGUGUAUCCCAUCCCACUCAUUCAUGUUCCAGUGUGAUGUGGACACUCCUCCCCUGAGAUCUUCAGUCAAUAUUCCCUCCCUUUGAACCUGGGCAGACCUAUGUAACUGCCUUGCUAAUAGAGUACAGCAUAAAUAAUGGGACUUCUGAGGCAAGGUCAUGAAAGCACUCCACCUGGGGUCUCUCUCUCUCUCUCUCAGCAUGCUCCUUGGUAGUUCUGAGCCGGCAUGUAAGAAGUCGGCCACAGAGAGGUAGAGAAGCCCAGGGAGUCCCAGCUGUUUGAGUCUUCCCACCCCAGGCAUCAGACAUAUAAGCAAAGACCCAUUGCUCCUGGGACUAGAAGCAGAAACCCCCUACCCAGGGGCAGAAGCAGGAAACUGUCCUGGGCUGAAGAUUCAAGCGAAGGUCCACUCUGUUGUGGGGAGGGCAAGAACUUUGGCUAAUCCCAGAUGAACCACAUAUAAGGCAGAGUUUGGCUUCCAUAGGGAAGAGGGACAGAAACACUGAGAAAGUCCCACUGCUGAAGCUCGGGUGCCUAGGACCUAUUUAAGACUGAAGCCGGGCCAGGGUAACAGAAUCAACCCUGCCCUGCCCUGCCUGAGCCUGGCACCAGAUCACAAGCAACAGAAGUCUUCUGCCAGCUGAAAAGCUGAGUGUGGGACAGCAGCACUGAGGAAGCCCUGACACCCCAGUCCCCACUCUAAGCAGCCCACCACUAGAGGAAUUUGAAACCUGGGGUGCACUGAAGGUAAUGAGAGCACAACCAAACCCAAACCCUGUCCAAUUCCUAACAAGACUGACUCAACCCCCCAGACCAACAGGCUGACAGAAGAGGCAGCCCCACUCCCAGAUACAGAUACUAUUUACCUCAGUCUCUGCUGUUUUAUACACCAUGGGCAUUCAGUUAAAAAACUGCAAAACAUAGGUCAGGCGCUAUGGCUCACACUUGUAAUCCUAGCACUUUGGGAGGCCGAGACAGGUGUAUCACCUGAGGUCAGGAGUUUCAGACCAGCCUGGUCAACAUGGCGAAACCCCAUCUCUACUAAAAAUACAAAAAUUAGCCAGGUGUUGGUGGUGUGUGCCUGUAGUCCCAGCUACUCCACAGGCUGAGGCAGGAGAAUCACUUGAACCUGGGAGGGUGAGGUUGCAGUGAGCUGAGAUGGCCCCACUACACUCCAGCCUGGGCAACAGAGCAAGACUGUCUCAAAAAAAAAAAAAUUGCAAAACACACAAAAAG